CCUACGGGGUGCAGCAGUGGGGAAUUUUGGACAAUGGGGGCAACCCUGAUCCAGCCAUCCCGCGUGUGCGAUGAAGGCCUUCGGGUUGUAAAGCACUUUUGGCAGGAAAGAAAAGGGCCUGGUUAAUACCUGGGUCAAAUGACGGUACCUGCAGAAUAAGCACCGGCUAACUACGUGCCAGCAGCCGCGGUAAUACGUAGGGUGCAAGCGUUAAUCGGAAUUACUGGGCGUAAAGCGUGCGCAGGCGGUUCGGAAAGAAAGAUGUGAAAUCCCAGGGCUUAACCUUGGAACUGCAUUUUUAACUACCGGGCUAGAGUGUGUCAGAGGGGGGUGGAAUUCCGCGUGUAGCAGUGAAAUGCGUAGAGAUGCGGAGGAACACCGAUGGCGAAGGCAGCCCCCUGGGAUAACACUGACGCUCAUGCACGAAAGCGUGGGGAGCA
rnacentral:rRNA from 1 species